rnacentral:rRNA from 1 species
GAUGAACGCUGGCGGCGUGCCUAAUACAUGCCAGUCGAGCGAACAGAUGAGGAGCUUGCUCCUCUGACGUUAGCGGCGGACGGGUGAGUAACACGUGGAUAACCUACCUAUAAGACUGGGAUAACUUCGGGAAACCGGAGCUAAUACCGGAUAAUAUAUUGAACCGCAUGGUUCAAUAGUGAAAGACGGUUUUGCUGUCACUUAUAGAUGGAUCCGCGCCGCAUUAGCUAGUUGGUAAGGUAACGGCUUACCAAGGCAACGAUGCGUAGCCGACCUGAGAGGGUGAUCGGCCACACGGGAACUGAGACACGGUCCAGACGCCUACGGGAGGCAGCAGUAGGGAAUCUUCCGCAAUGGGCGAAAGCCUGACGGAGCAACGCCGCGUGAGUGAUGAAGGUCUUCGGAUCGUAAAGCUCUGUUAUUAGGGAAGAACAAAUGUGUAAGUAACUAUGCACGUCUUGACGGUACCUAAUCAGAAAGCCACGGCUAACUACGUG